GCACCCGUAGCUCAGCUGGAUAGAGCGCGCCCCUCCGGAGGGCGAGGUCGAAGGUUCAAAUCCUUUCGGGUGUACCA
rnacentral:tRNA from 1 species